rnacentral:rRNA from 3 species
AGAGUUUGAUUCUGGCUCAGGACGAACGCUGGCGGCGUGCCUUACACAUGCAAGUCGAACGCAGCUUACCUAACUUUUAAGUUUACUUGGAAGUUAGGUAAAGUCUGAGUGGCAAACGGGUGAGUAACACGUGAGUAAUCUGCCUCCGGGUGGGGGACAACCAUUCGAAAGGGUGGCUAAUACCCCAUAUCCUCUUUUAACCCAGGUUAAAAGAGCAAAGCUGGCUUUUAUUAGCUGGUGCCAGGAGAGGAGCUCGCGUCCCAUCAGCUAGUUGGCAGGGUAAUGGCCUACCAAGGCAACGACGGGUAGCCGGCCUGAGAGGGUGUCCGGCCACACUGGGACUGAGAUACGGCCCAGACUCCUACGGGAGGCAGCAGUGAGGAAUCUUGGGCAAUGGGGGCAACCCUGACCCAGCGACGCCGCGUGGAGGAUGAAGGCCUUCGGGUCGUAAACUCCUGUUCUGGGGGAAGAACCGGGAGGAAGUGAAUAGCUUCUUCCCCUGACGGUACCCCAGGAGAAAGCUCCGGCUAAUUACGUGCCAGCAGCCGCGGUAAUACGUAAGGAGCGAGCGUUGUCCGGAUUUACUGGGCGUAAAGAGCUCGUAGGCGGCUUUCCAGGUCCUACAUGAAAUUCCUUGGCUUAACUGGGGAAGGUCGUGGGAAACCGGAAAGCUCGAGGGUAGGAGAGGAGAGUGGAAUUCCCGGUGUAGCGGUGAAAUGCGUAGAUAUCGGGAAGAACACCAGUGGCGAAGGCGGCUCUCUGGCCUACCCCUGACGCUGAGGAGCGAAAGCCAGGGGAGCAAACCGGAUUAGAUACCCGGGUAGUCCUGGCCGUAAACGAUGGGUACUAGGUGUGGGAGGUUCGACCCCUUCCGUGCCGCAGCUAACGCAUUAAGUACCCCGCCUGGGGAGUACGGCCGCAAGGUUGAAACUCAAAGGAAUUGACGGGGGCCCGCACAAGCGGUGGAGCAUGUGGUUUAAUUCGAUGCAACGCGAGGAACCUUACCAGGGCUUGACAUGCUGGUAGUAGGAGCCCGAAAGGGUGACCACCUUCGGUUUUCCGAAGGAGCCAGCACAGGUGCUGCAUGGUUGUCGUCAGCUCGUGUCGUGAGAUGUUGGGUUAAGUCCCGCAACGAGCACAACCCCUACCCUUAGUUGCUACCGACUUCGGUCGGGCACUCUAAGGGGACUGCCAGGGAUAACCUGGAGGAAGGUGGGGAUGACGUCAAAUCCGCAUGGCCCUUAUGUCCUGGGCGACACACGUGCUACAAUGGCCAGUACAGAGGGUUGCGAACCCGUAAGGGAGAGCCAAUCCCAGAAAGCUGGCCUCAGUUGGGAUUGUCGGCUGCAACCCGCCGACAUGAACUCGGAAUCGCUAGUAAUCGCGCAUCAGCCAUGGCGCGGUGAAUACGUUCCCGGGCCUUGUACACACCGCCCGUCACACCACGAAAGUCGAUUCCACCUGAAGUCACUGGGCUAACCCCGCAAGGGGAGGCAGGUGCCUAGGGUGGGGUUGGUGAUUGGGGUGAAGUCGUAACAAGGUAACCG